UACGUAGGGUGCAAGCGUUAAUCGGAAUUACUGGGCGUAAAGCGUGCGCAGGCGGUUUUGUAAGACUGUCGUGAAAUCCCCGGGCUCAACCUGGGAAUGGCGAUGGUGACUGCAAGGCUAGAGUUUGGCAGAGGGGGGUAGAAUUCCACGUGUAGUAGUGAAAUGCGUAGAUAUGUGGAGGAACACCGAUGGCGAAGGCAGCCCCCUGGGUCAAAACUGACGCUCAUGCACGAAAGCGUGGGGAGCAAACAGG
rnacentral:rRNA from 1 species